rnacentral:rRNA from 1 species
AACGAACGCUGGCGGCAGGCUUAACACAUGCAAGUCGAGCGCCCCGCAGGGGGAGCGGCAGACGGGUGAGUAACACGUGGGAAUCUGCCCAUCCCUACGGAACAACUCCGGGAAACUGGAGCUAAUACCGUAUACGCCCUUCGGGGGAAAGAUUUAUCGGGGAUGGAUGAGCCCGCGUCGGAUUAGCUAGUUGGUGGGGUAAAGGCCUACCAAGGCGGCGAUCCGUAGCUGGUCUGAGAGGAUGAUCAGCCACACUGGGACUGAGACACGGCCCAGACUCCUACGGGAGGCAGCAGUGGGGAAUAUUGGACAAUGGGCGCAAGCCUGAUCCAGCCAUGCCGCGUGAGUGAUGAAGGCCUUAGGGUUGUAAAGCUCUUUCGCCAGGGACGAUAAUGACGGUACCUGGAUAAGAAGCCCCGGCUAACUUCGUGCCAGCCGCCGCAGUAACAC